UAGCUGGAGGAAAGCAAAUUGCAAGAGCUAAAGGGGUCAAAAAGAAUAUUGUACGCAAGCACCUCCUCCAUGAGACAUACUACAAUACCUUGUUCAAUCACACGAGCGUAUCGAAUGAACAAGUAUCAAUCGUUGGAAAGAAGCAGUGUAUGUACACCAUCAGAAAUGUCAAAAGAAGUCUGAUGGCAUACGACGACAAGAGAUACCUGUGCAAUGACGUCGACUCCUAUCCUUAUGGAAGCUACGAAUACGAAGAUGUGCAGGAAGAGAAUUAAUGCUUCUGUCACAUACUGUUCUCUCCUGCGGUUUGCCUCUGGGUCAUGGACAGAGAAGGACGAGUGCCUGGGUGAUCCACAUUGUUCUUAUGCGAAAAAUGCCAUGGAUGCGAGCGGAGAUGUACAGCGUGCAUGGAUGUGUCCCCAGGGAGAACUGCAAUAUCUCCGAGACUGCCAUGAUGUACUCAAUAAACAUUGAAAACUA